UGGCUCCAGUCGCAUAUGUAGCAGAGG
rnacentral:piRNA from 1 species